AAGUGAGCUGCCCCAUGGAUAACGUGGUGCCUGCCUCGGCGUGCGUGUAGAAGAAGGUCCAGCUAGCAAGCCAGAAUCGAGGGAUUCAAAGAAACGGAAAAGGGAUACUGUACACUGAGGUGGAGGCUUUUUUUGGAGACCGUAUCCAUCGGGGACUGAAAGGAAGAUGUGGACAUAAUUCAGAAGAUACAUUUGGAGCAGCUGUCGUUCUGCUGGUUGACAGAAGGACUAGACAGAAGAAUGAUCAACUUAUGAGCUCAACAGCUAUGGCUGAGAAGUACAAUUAAGGACAACACUUUGUGGCGUUGCGGCAAGCUCUGUUGGAGUAUGAAGAAAGCCUCAGAAGUUCAUGUGAGUCUGUAUCUUCAAACAUAUGAAUAACAAAAGCAGUUGUUGGUUCUCUAGCUGUUUAAAAUAUA
rnacentral:lncRNA from 1 species